AAUCAACGCUGGCGGCGUGCCUAACACAUGCAAGUCGAACGAGAAAGUGGAGCAAUCCAUGAGUAAAGUGGCGCACGGGUGAGUAACACGUGACUAACCUACCCAGGAGUGGGGGAUAACUGAGGGAAACCUUAGCUAAUACCGCAUAAUACCCACGGGUCAAAGGAGCAAUUCGCUUCUGGAGGGGGUCGCGGCCGAUUAGUUAGUUGGCAGGGUAAUGGCCUACCAAGACGAUGAUCGGUAUCCGGCCUGAGAGGGCGCACGGACACACUGGAACUGAAACACGGUCCAGACUCCUACGGGAGGCAGCAGUGGGGAAUUUUGCGCAAUGGGGGAAACCCUGACGCAGCAACGCCGCGUGGAGGAUGAAGUCCUUCGGGGCGUAAACUCCUUUCGAUCGGGACGAUUAU
rnacentral:rRNA from 1 species